AGUGAACGCUGGCGGUAGGCCUAACACAUGCAAGUCGAACGGCAGCACAGUAAGAGCUUUCUCUUACAGGUGGCGAGUGGCGGACGGGUGAGGAAUACAUCGGAAUCUACUUUUUCGUGGGGGAUAACGUAGGGAAACUUACGCUAAUACCGCAUACGACCUACGGGUGAAAGCAGGGGAUCUUCGGACCUUGCGCGAUUGAAUGAGCCGAUGUCGGAUUAGCUAGUUGGCGGGGUAAAGGCCCACCAAGGCGACGAUCCGUAGCUGGUCUGAGAGGAUGAUCAGCCACACUGGAACUGAGACACGGUCCAGACUCCUACGGGAGGCAGCAGUGGGGAAUAUUGGACAAAGGGCGCAAGCCUGAUCCAGCCAUACCGCGUGGGUGAAGAAGGCCUUCGGGUUGUAAAGCCCUUUUGUUGGGAAAGAAAAGCAGCAGGUUAAUACCCCGCUGUUCUGACGGUACCCAAAGAAUAAGCACCGGCUAACUUCGUG
rnacentral:rRNA from 1 species